rnacentral:lncRNA from 1 species
ACGCGCCCUGACGGAGUCCCAGCAAGCGCGGGCCCGUCUUCCUCGCGUCUCCUCGGGGAGCGUCGUCGCCGCCACCCUGGGCGCUGAGAGCUUGCGGAGCCGAGCCGCUGUCGAGUCCCAGCGGAAAGAAGCCCAAGGUGCCGGAGAAGCCCGGUCGUGGACGUUGUUGCUCCCUCAUCUUCGAGACCCGCACGCCCUGCGGAGAGGAAAUGACAGGCACGCCGCGACCGUGGGGCGGGGCUCGC